UACUUUCUUCCAGAUUACUCAGUCAUCAGCAAGCCCCAUGGUAGAGAAAUUCAUUGGGCAAAGGUAACCUUAUCUCUUUCACUUAUCAAGGCCAGUACAGGUGUUUUCAUAGUCAGCGAUUCUUAAACAGUGACAAGCUUCUUCCCAAACACUUUCCAGCUUCUUUUAAUAGAAGUAUAAUUCAGUUUUGGAGCCCAAGAGAAGUUUUUACUGAAGUUAUCCAACCAUGUUUAUGCCUGGAGGAAGAAGAAAGAAAAUAAGAUGCUUCUAAGAAAGCCUGUGCUGGGUCACUUCUGUGUUUGUUCCACACACUUGAAGAGACAUCUAGCUCCUGUUUCCUGGUCCUGCUAAUGCUCACAGGAGAAGACAGGGUGAGUGUUGUCUGAGGCAUGUGUUCCACCUCCUUGCACGCUGCAGACAAGAUCAGUGCUGGCACUGAUAAAUGAAUGGCAAAGGAAGGAUGUCAACCAAAUGAGGGCAGUACCUGGACUGUAUGACAACUUAGCGGCCAGCCUCCUGCUUCUCCACAAGGCUUGAAGGGGCAGCUUGGAGGCUGUGAUGAAAAUUCAUCACUUGCACAGAAAACUGGAUGUCCUGUGCAUACAGCCCCAGAAAUGAAAUGAGCUGGGACCUGUAUAAAUUGGAACAGAUUUGAGAAAAAUAUUCAGCAGCAAAUGAGUAAUUUGUCUGUAGUAGUUUGCAUAGUUUGUCUGCAUCCGAGCAAGAGACUGAGCUGCACGAAAAGUGGCUCUGUCCCCGGGAUAGCCUCUCCUCUCUGUCUCUUUGGAAAUAUGUGGACAACAAAUACAAUUCAGAAUGAAGAAUCUGGACUGCUGUAAGGAAUGUCAUUAUAAAAAGAGAAUGUAUUGAACCGUCAGUAUUUAUCUGAACUUUGAGUUAAAGAAUUUGUAUAAUUGCUUUGUAAACAACUGAAAUUCUACAUAUAAAUUUAUCUAAUUGCUGAUUUCCUUAAAUCUAUCAUAUUGGUUUUCUUUCUGCAUUUAAAAACUAAGUACUUAUGUAUAAAAUCAGAAAUGUUUAUAAAUAGAAAAAUACUAUCAAAAUGAUGGGAUGUGUUUUUUUUGGGGGGGUGAUUUAUGACAAAAAUUGCUGUGAGACAUACGUGUGCCCACGCAUAUAUAUAAUGUUUAGUGUUCAUCUAGUCCCUGAAAAGAAAAUCUGCUUUUUGAUGCUGCUAAGUAGUACUAACUUGAAGUGCACAGCCUGAAGUGCUCAUAGUCUGCUCUCUCUUCAACAGUGUAUAGCUGUUAACAUUCUCCACAGACUUAGCUAGCUGCAGGUUUCCAGCAUAGCUUGCGGUGAGGCAGGGAAACAAAACCAGCUGAAUGUGGCCUCAUUCCUGCCUUCAUUAAAUUCAGUGGAACGUAUUCCUCUGCCUUUACUGGGACUGAAUGUCAAACAAACUGUUUAAAUUGACUUGCAGGCAAGGCGAUGCCCAUUCAGCAGCUUGUACAAACAGCUGCUGCAGUUUAGCUCCUGUUUUACUGCACAGCCACCAGCUGUGACAGCCAGUUUGUAUGGGUUCCUCGGACUCUGCAACCUGCAGGCUGUCUGUAUUGGUGACUCAGGAACAGACCAAGUCAGCUUCUUCACUGUCUUUGGGAUAUUCCUGCUACAUGUGUAUAGCAAACACCGAGAACAGUUCCAGGGAGAUUCUCAGUGGGAAAUGGGGACCUCAUCAGUGUGGAGAAAAGCCAAGCAAGAUACCAAAACAGUGCUAUAGAUCAUAAAAUUAGGUUAAAAAUCCUCCCUUUUAAAGUGCCUUAUU